rnacentral:rRNA from 1 species
GGUUAAGCGACUAAGCGUACACGGUGGAUGCCCUGGCAGUCAGAGGCGAUGAAGGACGUGCUAAUCUGCGAUAAGCGCCGGUAAGGUGAUAUGAACCGUUAUAACCGGCGAUUUCCGAAUGGGGAAACCCAGUGUGAUUCGUCACACUAUCAUUAACUGAAUCCAUAGGUUAAUGAGGCGAACCGGGGGAACUGAAACAUCUAAGUACCCCGAGGAAAAGAAAUCAACCGAGAUUCCCCCAGUAGCGGCGAGCGAACGGGGAGGAGCCCAGAGCCUGAAUCAGCAUGUGUGUUAGUGGAAGCGUCUGGAAAGGCGCGCGAUACAGGGUGACAGCCCCGUACACAAAAGCGCAUGUGCUGUGAGCUCGAUGAGUAGGGCGGGACACGUGGUAUCCUGUCUGAAUAUGGGGGGACCAUCCUCCAAGGCUAAAUACUCCUGACUGACCGAUAGUGAACCAGUACCGUGAGGGAAAGGCGAAAAGAACCCCGGCGAGGGGAGUGAAAAAGAACCUGAAACCGUGUACGUACAAGCAGUGGGAGCCCCACCACUAAGCCAGUGGUGAACUCCACAUACGCAUCCUUUGCUGAGGAUACGGUUAACGGAGCGAAAGCGACGUUCAACCUCAAAAGAAGCAGAGGGGGCUUAGUGGUGGGGUGACUGCGUACCUUUUGUAUAAUGGGUCAGCGACUUAUAUUCUGUAGCAAGGUUAACCGUAUAGGGGAGCCGGAGGGAAACCGAGUCUUAAUUGGGCGUUAAGUUGCAGGGUAUAGACCCGAAACCCGGUGAUCUAGCCAUGGGCAGGUUGAAGGUUGGGUAACACUAACUGGAGGACCGAACCGACUAAUGUUGAAAAAUUAGCGGAUGACCUGUGGCUGGGGGUGAAAGGCCAAUCAAACCGGGAGAUAGCUGGUUCUCCCCGAAAGCUAUUUAGGUAGCGCCUCGUGAAUUCAUCUUCGGGGGUAGAGCACUGUUUCGGCUAGGGGGUCAUCCCGACUUACCAACCCGAUGCAAACUGCGAAUACCGGAGAAUGUUAUCACGGGAGACACACGGCGGGUGCUAACGUCCGUCGUGAAGAGGGAAACAACCCAGACCGCCAGCUAAGGUCCCAAAGUCAUGGUUAAGUGGGAAACGAUGUGGGAAGGCCCAGACAGCCAGGAUGUUGGCUUAGAAGCAGCCAUCAUUUAAAGAAAGCGUAAUAGCUCACUGGUCGAGUCGGCCUGCGCGGAAGAUGUAACGGGGCUAAACCAUGCACCGAAGCUGCGGCAGCGAACGUAUCACUUAAAGCGAUUCAGCGGGUUACGAUUGACGGAGCGAAGCGACGUCAAAGCGUAUACAAAGUCGAGUCGGUUUAAGGAUACGUUCGUUGGGUAGGGGAGCGUUCUGUAAGCCUGUGAAGGUGUGUCGUGAGGCAUGCUGGAGGUAUCAGAAGUGCGAAUGCUGACAUAAGUAACGAUAAAGCGGGUGAAAAGCCCGCUCGCCGGAAGACCAAGGGUUCCUGUCCAACGUUAAUCGGGGCAGGGUGAGUCGACCCCUAAGGCGAGGCCGAAAGGCGUAGUCGAUGGGAAACGGGUUAAUAUUCCCGUACUUGGUGUUACUGCGAAGGGGGGACGGAGAAGGCUAUGUUGGCCGGGCGACGGUUGUCCCGGUUUAAGCGUGUAGGUGUGUGUUCCAGGUAAAUCCGGUUCACUUUAACACUGAGGCGUGAUGACGAGGCACUACGGUGCUGAAGCAACAAAUGCCCUGCUUCCAGGAAAAGCCUCUAAGCAUCAGGUAACAUCAAAUCGUACCCCAAACCGACACAGGUGGUCAGGUAGAGAAUACCAAGGCGCUUGAGAGAACUCGGGUGAAGGAACUAGGCAAAAUGGUGCCGUAACUUCGGGAGAAGGCACGCUGACACGUAGGUGAAGUGAUUUACUCACGGAGCUGAAGUCAGUCGAAGAUACCAGCUGGCUGCAACUGUUUAUUAAAAACACAGCACUGUGCAAACACGAAAGUGGACGUAUACGGUGUGACGCCUGCCCGGUGCCGGAAGGUUAAUUGAUGGGGUCAGCGCAAGCGAAGCUCCUGAUCGAAGCCCCGGUAAACGGCGGCCGUAACUAUAACGGUCCUAAGGUAGCGAAAUUCCUUGUCGGGUAAGUUCCGACCUGCACGAAUGGCGUAAUGAUGGCCAGGCUGUCUCCACCCGAGACUCAGUGAAAUUGAACUCGCUGUGAAGAUGCAGUGUACCCGCGGCAAGACGGAAAGACCCCGUGAACCUUUACUAUAGCUUGACACUGAACAUUGAGCCUUGAUGUGUAGGAUAGGUGGGAGGCUUUGAAGUGUGGACGCCAGUCUGCAUGGAGCCGACCUUGAAAUACCACCCUUUAAUGUUUGAUGUUCUAACGUGGACCCGUAAUCCGGGUUGCGGACAGUGUCUGGUGGGUAGUUUGACUGGGGCGGUCUCCUCCUAAAGAGUAACGGAGGAGCACGAAGGUUGGCUAAUCCUGGUCGGACAUCAGGAGGUUAGUGCAAUGGCAUAAGCCAGCUUGACUGCGAGCGUGACGGCGCGAGCAGGUGCGAAAGCAGGUCAUAGUGAUCCGGUGGUUCUGAAUGGAAGGGCCAUCGCUCAACGGAUAAAAGGUACUCCGGGGAUAACAGGCUGAUACCGCCCAAGAGUUCAUAUCGACGGCGGUGUUUGGCACCUCGAUGUCGGCUCAUCACAUCCUGGGGCUGAAGUAGGUCCCAAGGGUAUGGCUGUUCGCCAUUUAAAGUGGUACGCGAGCUGGGUUUAGAACGUCGUGAGACAGUUCGGUCCCUAUCUGCCGUGGGCGCUGGAGAACUGAGGGGGGCUGCUCCUAGUACGAGAGGACCGGAGUGGACGCAUCACUGGUGUUCGGGUUGUCAUGCCAAUGGCACUGCCCGGUAGCUAAAUGCGGAAGAGAUAAGUGCUGAAAGCAUCUAAGCACGAAACUUGCCCCGAGAUGAGUUCUCCCUGAGACUUAGAGUCUCCUGAAGGAACGUUGAAGACGACGACGUUGAUAGGCCGGGUGUGUAAGCGCAGCGAUGCGUUGAGCUAACCGGUACUAAUGAACCGUGAGGCUUAACCUU